GACGAACGCUGGCGGCGUGCUUAACACAUGCAAGUCGAACGGAAAGGCCCUGCUUUUGUGGGGUGCUCGAGUGGCGAACGGGUGAGUAACACGUGAGUAACCUGCCCUUGACUUUGGGAUAACUUCAGGAAACUGGGGCUAAUACCGGAUAGGAGCUCCUGCUGCAUGGUGGGGGUUGGAAAGUUUCGGCGGUUGGGGAUGGACUCGCGGCUUAUCAGCUUGUUGGUGGGGUAGUGGCUUACCAAGGCUUUGACGGGUAGCCGGCCUGAGAGGGUGACCGGCAAAAUUGGGACUGAGAUACGGCCCAGACUCCUACGGGAGGCAGCAGUGGGGAAUAUUGAACAAUGGGCGGAAGCCUGAUGCAGCAACGCCGCGUGCGGGAUGACGGCCUUCGGGUUGUAAACCGCUUUCGCCUGUGACGAAGCGUGAGUGACGGUAAUGGGUAAAGAAGCACCGGCUAACUACGU
rnacentral:rRNA from 1 species